rnacentral:sRNA from 1 species
AGAACCAACAAGAGAUCACCUGGAGAUUGGAGACUGAAGAAGCUGGUGGUGUAUUUCAAAAGCCUGAGAGGCAGAGGUGAAUGGUGUAGAUUUCAGUUUUAGUUUGAAGGCCUGAAAACCGGGAAUGCUAACGGCAGAAGAAGGAAUGUUCCAGCUCAAGCAGUCAAGCAGAAGAAAGAAAUUCCACUGAUUUUAUAUCUCUUUGCUCUGAUUUCUGUGACAUGGCUUUGGGGAGGACUACACAUGGCCUACAGACACUUCUGGAUGUUGGUUCUCUUUGUCAUUUUCAACAGUCUGCAGGUGCCACCUGACUGGGAGAGAGCAUCCUUUCAACAGGCCAGUCAGGCCAGCCCUGAUUUAAAGCCAAGUCCACAAAAUGGAGCCAUGUUCCCGUCCUCUGGAGGAUAUGGCCAGGGGUCACUGAUAGCCGAUGAGGAGUCCCAGGAGUUUGAUGAUUUAAUAUUUGCAUUAAAAACUGGUGCUGGUCUCAGUGUCAGUGAUAAUGAAUCUGGUCAAGGCAGCCAGGAGGGGGGCACCUUGACUGACUCCCAGAUCGUGGAGCUCAGGAGGAUACCCAUCGCCGACACUCACCUCUAGCACCUCACUAACCAUUCGACUUAGCACACUUUCAUGUUUGUAUCAGCUUUUGUGCUAAAACUCUCUAAGUACGUCCACCUGUGUAAUAGGAACCUGUGAAUUGUACUGGAUGAUUAACACAAACGUGAUUGUUGUAUUUGGAGUAUAAAUUACUGAUUGUAUGUGACCUGAAAAUUCACUGCUAUAAGAAAGAUGGAGUCAGUUUGUAUCAGUUAAUAGGAUGUUCAUAUUCCAAGAAUAUUAGUUGUUUUUUUAAUCAUCCUAUAUGGCUAACAUUGUUUAAUGAAAGUAAUAAUCAAUAAAGCAA